AUCGGCAUGAUUGUGCGCGCCGGCGCCGAAAACCGCGAGAUGACGCGCACACUCGGCAUCAACUUCGACACCGUCAACCAUUACGUGUUCGCGGUCGGCAUUGCGCUGGCCGCACUGGGCGGCAUCGUCGUGGCGCCGGUGUCGACUGUCUAUCCCGGCAUGGGCGACAGCAUGCUGAUCCUUUCAUUCGUUGUCGUGGUGCUCGGCGGCAUCGGCUCGAUCGGCGGCGCAGCGAUCGGCGCGCU
rnacentral:misc_RNA from 1 species